rnacentral:miRNA from 1 species
AACCCUGUAGACCCGAAUUUGA